rnacentral:lncRNA from 1 species
GACUCUGCUGUCUAAAUGACCAAAACCUUAUUUUCCUCCAGGAGAUGAAAAGCUUUCAAACAUUUGGCUGCCGUGUGCCGCCCUGUUUCCCAGGAUGGCGGCAGGCAGGCCCAUUGGCUCCGUCGUCAUCUUGGCAUCGCCGAGGAGAGGUGGCAGACAGCCCUGUGGAACAGAAAGGCAGUUGGCACAGUGGCUCUUCACACUAAGAGGAGUUGGCUCAACAAAGCCCGUUUGGUACACUUAAUCCUGCUGAAAAUCUGGCAAGGGGAGAGACACGAUCGUUAGGAUCCGUUUCCCCUACAGUAGCCAAUCUGGGUGGAAAUGACUCAAGAAAUCAAUUUUUAAUAACUGUGCCCAUGGCCAGAUUCUCAUGAAUCCAUGAAAGCUCACAUCAGCCCCACGUGGAGGACACCAUUGGGACGCCUCAGGUGACACAGGAGACCAACCAGCGAGGCUACGGAAGGGAAGUGUGGUAGACUGACUGUUGGCUCCUAACCAUUGAGACCUCUAAAUACUGCCUUGUUUCUGAGAACGAGAUCUGCAUUGCUUUUCUCAUUGGAAUGACUGUGUGCCUAACAGAAGCCACUUAAGGAACGCCACGCAGUGAGACAUUUGCUCUGCCUAGAGAUUCCUGAUUCCUGCCACGGGGUCCUCAUCUUUUUCCCUGCUGCUCUGAUAAAAAUAUCCCGACAAAAAAGCAACUUAGAGGAGAAAGGAUUUAUCUUAGCUCACAAUUCCAGUCGUAGCCCACCACAACAGAGGAGGCAGGAAACUUACAACGGCUACUCGACAGUGACGUCCACAGCCAAGAGCAGAGAGACCGACAGACGCAUGCUUACUGCUCAGCUCAGUUUCCCCAGACUCAGGGAAUGGUUCCGCCUUCGGUGGGCGUGUCUUCCCAUGUCAACGUAAUCAAGACAAUCCCUACAGACCAACCCGAUCUAGACAAUGCCUUGCCAGGCGUGUUAGCGCACGCCUUUAAUCGCAGCACUUGGGAGGCAGAGGCAAGCGAAUUUCUGAGUUGGAGGCCAGCCUGGUCUACAGAGUGAGUUCCAGGACAGCCAGGACUACACAGAGAAACCCUGUCUCGAAAAAAAAAAAAAAACCCAACCAAACAACAAUAACAAAAGACAAUGCCUUGUUGAGACUCUCUUCUUAGUGAUUCUAGAGUGCCAAGUUUACAGUUAAAUCUAGGGGGUGGGGGAAUGGCUUGGCGGUAAAGGAGAAACUCCUAAGGACCUGAUUUCAGUCCCCAGGACCCACGCGAUGCAAGACAAGACCUGACUCCCACAAGUUGUCCUCUGACCUCCACACAAGGGCAGAAGUGUGAGCUAAACCCUCUACAAAUAAAUAAAUGUAAGAAAAAGAAUGAUUGAUUUGUUUUUGUUUGUUUGGUUUUUUAAUUAUAGGGAGCUGGAGAGAUGGCUCAGUGGUUAAGAGCACUGACUGCUCUUCUGAAGGUCCUGAAUUCAAUUCCCAGCAACCACAUGGUGGCUCACAACCAUCUGUAAUGAGAUCUGAUGCCCUCUUCUGAUGUGUCUGAAGACAGCUACAGUGUACUUAUGUAUAAUAAUAAAUAAAGUCUUAAGAAAAAUAUAUAACUAACCAUCCAGGGAACAAAAUGCGCAUCACAGGCCUAAAGCAACAAAGCCAACAGCUCCCCCUAGACCACAAAGCUGGUUUGGAGUAAAUAUGGUAAAGACAUCCAAAACUGCCAGGCGGUGGUGGCGCACCCUUUAAUCCCAGAACUUGGGAGGCAAAGGCAGGCAGAUUUCUGAGUUCGAGGCCAG